CUUGCUAAGUAAUGAAGGUGAGGAAAAGCUUAGGAAAUAUUUCUUCUCACUUAUUUCACUUCAAAAUAUGACAUUUACAAUAAAUAUAAAUAUUUCAAAAAGUGGAUUUUUCUUUACCUUCCCACUGAUUUUAAAAUUCAAUCCUACUCUUGAAUACUAAAGAGGCUCACAAUUUUGGAGUGUUAAAAUUUGGGAUUUUUAAUGCUUUUUGAUCGUCAAAACUACAUAGAAAAUCGUUUAAGUUUUUAGAUUGCAAGUCAUCAAAUAGUCUUAAAAAGAUCCAUGUGUAAAUGUAUAUUUCUAGUUUACUAGAAAGAUGUACAUAUACUAAACUUGAAGAAGUCCAUCAAUAUUUAGUAUUUAUGUUCUCAAUCCCAGGCCUAAACCCUUCUCUUAAGCUCUAGAUCUGCACUAUCCAAUAUGGAAGCCACCAGCCACUAUGACUCUCAAUUCCCAAACUUGUAUAUGCAAUGAUGGUAUCAUUGGAAUGGAUGGGGUAUGAACUAUUUUCUAAAAUUUGGGGGAUGUAUUAAUUAUUGUACAUUUAUUUAAAAUCAGUCUCAAUUCAUUAUUAUACCUCAGAUCUUAAAUUUACAUAAAUCUGAGGAACAUAAUUCUAGAGGCUUACCAUUUUUACUAUAUCAGAAUACGCUGAUUCAACAAUUACACCACGAUUAGUUGAAACAUACUCAACCAGUUCAUUCAGUGUUGCUCUUUUAAUUUCUUUGCUCUUCAAGUCUGAAACAGAGUCCAUGAAAUCAAACAGUAUACAACACUGCUGCAACUUCUGACAGAAAAGCUCUUGUUGUUCAUUUGAAGUGGCAUCUAUAAAUAAAAAUAAAGAAAAACUUAGAAAUAACCUACUCAGAAGUUACUUUUAUAUAUUUAUUAAUUUUGUAGAAGCUAUUCACAUAUGUAAAACUUCUUCCAAAAAUCUAGUGAGAAAUGUGCCCAUCUAUAACCCCAUCAUUCAGGGAUUUAUACUGGACUCUUCUCUCUCCCUCAUUACUCACAAUCAAUCAUUAAAAAAAUUUUUUUAAAGAAAUAUGGUCUUGCUACAUUGCCCAAGAUAGACUCAAACUCCUAGGCUCAUGUGAUCCUCCUGCCUCAGCCUCCAGAGUAGUGGAGAUUAUGUGCCACCAUAUCCAGCUAAUCAUUAAAUGUUACUGAUUCGGCGUCUUUAACAUAUUUGAAAUCUAUUCUUGUCAUUCCCGCUGCCAUUUCAGACUCUCACCAUGCCUCAUCUGGACUACAGCAAUGAUAUGCUAAUUGCUCCUCUUAUCUGGUCCCAUAACCAUUACCACUCCUGACUUACCCUCCAAACAACCUCAAAAUCUUGCCAAAAUGAGAAUCGGUGUGUUCAAGUUCCAUGUUUUUCAAUGAUACUCCAAUAAUUAAAUAAUAAAGUUCAAACUCCUCUCGGCUGUAUACAAAGUACAGCUGUCUACUGUCAAGAGUCAUCUCUCAACCCUUUCCAACAUGCCUCUUCAUUUUGGUUAAACCAUACUCUCUGUAGUUCCCUGAAGAUUACACAAUGUUUCCUCUGUCUGGAAUGCCCUUCUUCCCACAUUCCCACCCUGGGAACACUACCUACUUACAAAGUUUCAGCGUAAGUCCCUUCUUUUUUUUUAAUUUUUAUUUUUUUGAGACAAACUCUUGCUCUGUCGCCUGGGCUGGAGUACAGUUUUCAGAAGCUUUCCUUAUGGUACUGAAGCUAAAUUGGUUGGUUUAUCCACUUUUACCCAAAUGUGUUUUAGGUGCAUAUCUCUGUUAUAGUAUUUACUGUGCUUUACAGCAAUUAUAUUUUACAUACUCAGCACCCCUCAACUAAAAGCAGGAACCAACGGCUAGGCACAGUGGCUCACAUCUGUAAUCCCAGCAUUUUGGGAGGCCAAGGCGGGCAGAUCACUUGAGGUCAUGAGUUCGAGACCAGCCUUGCCAACAUGGCAAAACCCCGUCUCUACUAAAAAUACAAAAAUUAUCCGGGCAUGGUGGCGCAUGCCUGUAAUCCCAGCUACUCCAGAGGCUGAGGUAAGAGAAUUGCUUGAACCCAGGAGGCUGGGGUUGCAGCGAGCCGAAAUCGCACCACUGCAUUCCAGCCUGGGCAACAGAGACAACAUCUCAAUCAAUCAAUGCAGAAACCAAGUUUUACUUAUCUAAUUAUCUCUGUCUUUCUCUCUCUCUACUUCUCUUUCUCUUUCUAGUAUCUAAUACAAUGCCUGGCAUAUAAUAGGCACUCAAAAAAUGGGCCGGUGUGGUGGCUCAUGCCUGUAAUCCCAGCACUUUGGAAGGCUGAGGCAGGCGGAUGACUUGAGGUCAGGAGUUCAAGACCAGCCUAGCCAAAUGGUGAAACCCCAUCUCUACUAAAAAUACAAAAAUUAGCCAAACGUGGUGGCGGGCGCCUGUAAUCCCAGCUACUGGGAAGGCUGAGGAAGGAGAAUCACUGGAACGCAGGAGGUGGGGGUUGCAAUGAGCCGAGAUAGCGCCACUGCACUCCAGCCUGGGCCACAGAGUGAGACUCAAGUCUCGAUUUAAAAAGUUUAUUGUUUUAUAUUCUACUUAUUACAAAAAUAUGGACACACUGUAUUGAUUUGAUUCUAACAAAUGUUAAAUCCUUUUGUUUCUAACCUUCAAAACCAUAAAACUUCACUUCCGAACUUUCAUUCUAUAAACAAGGAAUUCAAUUAGUUCAAUCACUUAAGUUUACUGAACUUCUGAAAGUAAAUUUUAAAAAUCAUAUUCAACUCUGAUAUUUAUCUCAUAAUAUACAAAACUAUGCCUCUAUUCAAAACCAGUACAUACUUUAUAUAAAGAUACAGGCAGAAAUCUUCAUAAAGAUGAUAACCUAAUCAAGAAUGCCUAUGCUUCGUAAUUACUCCAGGGCAGGAAGCUAGUAAAAUUACCUUUCAAUUAUAUUCAAGUUGCUGUCCUUAAAAAAGCUGAUUUAGAUAAGGUACUGCUGAACCGUAGUAGGUCAGGUAUUCUAAGCAUGCUCACACAAAGUCACAAGACAUAAGGCACAUUCUUUUCAUUGAUCAAUUAUUAUUAAAUAAUUUUACAAUAAAACAAAUGUGGAUAUAUUACAAAGAACAGCAAAAGUCACAUGAUUUUUGAAGUAAAAAUAUGAAGACUUGAAUUUGCUGCAGUUCAUUUGUGGCUAUGCCAGUAAAAUAAGAUAGCUCCACACUUACAAAGAACUUGUAUUAACAUUUCCUGUUCCAGAAUCAAUAAUGACUCUCUGCUUUAUGAAGGUUAAAGUCUAUAAGCCUAAGAUUGGCAUUCAGAAUCCAUGUAAUAUUGACAUAUAUGACAUUUUUUACUACCAAUUUGGUAAAGUUUUUGAUUCAGGGUCACUUUUUUUUUGAGACGGAGUCUCACUCUACUGCCCAGGCUAGAGUGUGGUGGCGCGAUCUUGGCUCACUGCAACCCCUGCCUCCCAGGUUCAUGCAAUUUUCCUGCCUCAGCCUCCCAAGUAGCUGGGAUUACAGGCCUGCACCACCACGCCCAGCUAAUUUUUGUAUUUUUUUUAAUAGAGAUGAAGUUUCACCAUGUUGGCCAGCCUGGCCUCAAACUCCUGACCUCAAAUGAUCCGCCUGCCUCGGCCUCCCAAAGUGCUGGGAUUACAGGUGUGAGCCACCUCACCCUGAUUCAGGAUCACCUUUUAUGGAACUGUUCUUAAGUGGGAAUAUUUUUAUGUAUCCUUAAAAAAAAAAAAAACAUUGAAUUUGCAACUAUUUUUAAUACUAAGUAAUAUGCUAAACAGUUAUCUUUAUCCCAGAAUUAAAAUUCAUUCUAUUGGGGGUGAAAAUGAACCACUAGCCAACAUACAUGCUACACAUAACCAGCAGUCUUAUGUUUACUACCUUUUUUUAAUCCCAAAAUGGCCAUUAGUCAUUCUAAGCAGAAUCUGCUUCUUCUCUGUAAAAUCAGUUGUAUCUUGAAUGGCCCUUUUCUUAAAUCUUCUGGGGCUUUUUACCCUUAAAGUUAAAAUGGUUAUGUGCAUUUAAUUUUCAUUAAUAAAUGAUGUCUGCUAAUAAUUUAUUUCAACUAACAAAAAGAUGUCUGCUUGAUAUUGGUACUUAGUUUGAAAAUUAGAAGAUGGACACCUCUGCUUAUGUAUGUACUACACACUAAACGAGAUACAUGUUGACUAUGUGGGCUAUAAGAAUCCUUCUCAAUCCAUAGUGUACAGGAAAUCCCCAUAGUUCUCUCAGUUAUUCAGUAAUAUCUUUAUACAGUUAUCUAUUUUCAAAGAUAUCUAUAUCCCUAAUAUAUGGCUUUAUUUUAUAAUAUAUAUCUUUAUAAUUAAUAUAAAUUCCAUAAUGAUGACUUGGUGAAACAGUUGCCAUAUCUUGAGAGGCUGCGUUCUAAAAGAGUUUUAAGAUAUAUUUUAGCCCUUUUUCCCUAACGCUAAUAGUAAUACAAACUCACACAAGAUCCCACUUCAAUUAUGUGAUCACCUUAUACCGCCAGUCCUAUUCUCUCCUUCCUCCCACUACCACCUCCUCAAUGUGAAUGAAACCAGCCCUCUUAUUCUCUGAAGGCCGUGUCUUUGUUCAAAGUCUUUUCCCUACCUGAAAUACUUCACUAGAUUUCCUCCCCUAUCUUUCCAUAUCCUACUUGCCCUUUAAGAACAAACUUAAUCUCACAUUCUCCACAAAAUUUCCCUUAGGUAGGUCAGGAUACAAUGAUCUCUCCCAUCUCUCAUGAUCUAUAGUGUUCACAACUUCAAUUACGUAUUUGAGUACCCAUUAUCUUUAGGCCUAUAUUCAACAGAUGUUUCUUUCAUCAACCACCAAAAGAUUUCAGGCUCCUCAAGGGGAAGGAUUAUUCACUGAGCAGGGUUUCCUUUUUAUUUCUUUUUUAUCUAGGGUAGGGUAUAUAAGGAGUUAAUAAAUAUUUAUUUGAUGCUUGAAAAAACUCUGAAUUUGAAGAAUAAGAUACUGCACUGAAAUACAGUCUACUGAACAAGGAGAAGUUCAAAAUUGGUGCUGGAUAUCAACAGCGACAUAAAUAAUGAAUUAUUACAACAUGGCUAUGUUUAAGAAUUAAUCAUGCCAGGUGCGGUGGCUCAUGCUUGUAAUCCCAGCACUUUGGGAGGCCGAGGUGGGUGGAUCACAAGGUAAGAAGAUCAAGACCAUCCUAGCUAACAUGGUGAAACCCUGUCUCUACUAAAAGUAACAAAAAAUUAGCCGGGCAUGGUGGCAGGCACCUGUAGUCCCAGCUACUCAGGAGGCUGAGGCAGAAGAAUGGCGUGAACCCGGGAGGCAGAGCUUGCAGUGAGCCCAGAUUGUGCCACUGCACUCCAGCCUGGGGGACAGAGCAAGAAGACUCUGUCUCAAAAAAAAAAAAAAAAUUAAUCAUAAUGACCAUUUUUAUCAACAAUCUACCUUGAUGGUAGAAUUAAAUGGAUUGAGAUAACAAUCAUGAAGAUGAGUGCAUAUAUUUCAAGGUGAAAUACAAAUGGAAAGUAUGUUUUUCUAACACUACAGGCUAAGUAGCCUGUGGCCAGCAAAAAAGAAGACACAAAAUGACU
rnacentral:lncRNA from 1 species